GUCAGGCGUUUUUCAGGAGCGCGCUGCUAACGGCCUUACGUGCUGUAUCAGUCUGCGAGGGCUGCCGUGACAAAGAACCACAGCUUGCAGGGUUCUAACAGCAGAAGUUUGUUUUCUCACGAUUGUAGACGCCGGGAAGUCAGAGAUCAAGGUGUGGGGAGGGUGGGUUUCUCCUGAGGCCUCUCUCCUCGGCGUGUGGACGGCUGCCUUCGCCCGGUGUCCUCGCGCGGUCGUCCCUCUGUGCGUGUCUGUGUCCUGAUCUCGCCUCCUUAUAAGAACCCCAGUCCUAGUGGCUUAGGGCCCGCCUGACCUCGUCUUAACUUCUUAUCUCUUUAAAGACCCUGUCUCCAAACACGGUCACGUUCUGAGGGUCAGGGGGUUAGGACUUCAACGCAUGAAGCAACCCAGCCUGUGACAUCUGCUUUCUCUCUCUUCCUCCUCACCCUGGGGAGCUCCCAUGAAUCUAUUUCUUAUCCUGUUUUAACAAUAAGGAGACGUCUGUGUUGGAAACAAUCAAAUCAUUUGCAAUCAAACCGUCUCUCCCUCUGAACAAACAGAACCGCUCGUCCUGGUUGUGUGGGUGCGGUGCGGGAUCCGCGCCGGAGCUGGCUGAAGAACCACUGCGAUGAUGUUCUUGUGUCCACCGUGGGUGAGACCAGGAGGCUCUGACAACAGACAUGCGGCUUUUCCCUCGUGGUGGUGGCUCUCAAGGGCUCCUUCCUCGCACGUGCAAACACACCCACCCCCCCCCCCACCCAGUAUUUCCCAAAAUGCGUAUGGAGCACAUCCUAUGAGAGCAAUUAAUGUGCAUCCCAUGGAGGGAGGUUUUUUUUCAACCAAAUACGGUUGUGAAGUAUUACGUAAACAAUAUAGAAUAGACUUCCUUGCUGCAGGAUUUCUUGGAAUCUCUAAUACGCUAUGUGACGUGUGAAUCUCUCAGAUGGCAUUAGAGCAGGGGUCGGCAAACUUUAUCUGUAAAGCACUGGCUACCAAGUAUUUCAGGCUUUGUGGGUCACGUGAUCUCCAUUGCACUACUCAACCCUGCUGUCGUAACCUGAGAGGAGCCGUGGACAACAUGUAAGUGAAUGUGUGGCCCUGUUCUAAUAAAACUUUAUUUACAAAAACAAGCAGCAGGCCAGAGUUGGCCUACAGGCCGUAGUUUGCUGGCCCCGUCUUGGAGAUGGAGUUUUUUCCAAAUGUAUUGGAACGUGGAGUUCUUUUUUCAAGAAGUGCUCACGUCCCGCAGAUCACACUCUUCUUUCCAACAACCCUUGGUGCUCAGUUGGGCGCCUUCGCACUGUUUCAUGUCCACCCUGUCUGUGUCGACGUCCCCGCCUGCUGGGAUAGUGUUUUAUGACGCUGGCCCCUGGACUGAGACGAGUCAUCUAGGCUCCAGGCUUGACCCUAAGGAAUCUGAACCACCUUGGGCUGGAGGAUUCCCCAGCGAGGGCCCUCGCGUGCAAUUUUUGGGACUUUUGGGUUCAGCAGAACUUGAGACACCUCGCCACGUGUGUGAUCACGCUGGUGGCUCUGAAUUCGCUUUGGAAGGAGAGUUUUGGAAAAUGGGGAACUGUGUGAAUUAAGACGGACAUGGAUAUAGUCUUUCAAGGUAUGAAAUUUGUGCUGACUUGGUCCAAAACACAACCGCAUCUGGUUAUGUCUGGUCUCGACUGCUCCAAAAAUGUCCUAAAUUCCAGACAACCUCUGGGGCUUAGAAAUAAAAGUCAUUAAUCCUGCAUUUGAAUUUAAUAUUUGAAAUUUUAUCCUAAUCUUUUUUUUUUUCUUCCACAUGAAUUAACUUUUGAAAAGUUGGAAAGAAACAUGAGGUGUUUUUUUUUUUUUUUAGGGAACAUUCUUAACAAAAGGGUAUAAAAUUCAACUGGGUUUGACCUUUUGAGUUUAGCAGAUUUUCCACCUGGUCUGAGCUGGAGGAAAUGGGCUUCGCAGCGGGAAGGCUGCUUCUCCGGCUGUGGAAAGCGCUCCUGCGUCCGUUCUCGAGGCGGUGCGCUUCUUGGCUGAGCCAUGCUGUGGGUUCCUCGCUGACGGUUAAUUGAGAAGUGCUGAGCUGGAGCGUCUGGGUGGAUAGCCCAUUCAGAGCACAGUUCCAGCCAGCCUGGGGUCAGAAAUAUUUGAGCCCCCCUCUCCCCACCAAAAAAUGCACAUAACUCUGCAGGAAUCUCACACGUGGGUGGACACAUCUAUCUUGAGUUUCAUCCACUCGGGGCCAACUUCUUUCUGGCACGAAGGGUGCAAGCUUGGAGCACAGACCCAGCCACCGGAUAUUUCAAAUGAUUUGGUCAUUUUCUCUCUCUAGAAAGUUCCCUGCUGUGUCAAUUGGCCUACCAUCUUGGAAAACAGAAUGUGAAGUGUCGAUUGACAGAGGACAUCCUUACUCCCAGCUGGCACCUCCGAGUUCACGCCGUCUUCCUUCUGCGUGAAGGAUGUGGAAACCAACACUUCCCCGGGGAAGUUCUGGCUGAGGGGAUGAAUUCUGGCUCCUUGGUUUCUACAGGAUUCUCUUACCGCCCUUCCGGUCGCUCCAGGAUGACCACAAUCCGGACACACUGUUCUUUUCAGACCCGCUCUCCCACCGCUGGCCGAUGGGAAGCCCUCCAAACCUGGAAGGUGGGCCUUCUCAAGAUCCCCAGGGGGGCCCGAAGCUGUCCCUCAUCUUGCCUGGAAGGUAGUCCUUUUUUCCACGUGAGCCAUCCCAGGGCCACGGACAGUCUUUUCUGGAAGCUGCUUGGGUUCUGAUUUGUCUCAGAGUCUCUGCCGUUAGACGGAUUCAGUGCACCUGGUCUCAGACGGGGCUCUUUGAUUGUCGCUAGAGUAAUCUUGCUUUUGUGGGGUGGGGGCAUUUUUUUUGACAUCAUUUCCCCUGGAGAGUCAACACUUUAUUCCGUGGUAAUCCAUGUGUCACGGGUAAAGCUGACGCGCCUUCCUGGCCCGGGGACGAUGUGUGACCCAGGUCUGGCCACUCUGAAUCCUCCACGCACCUGCUCCUCCACGAUAAGCGACACAGAGAUAGACGUGGGAGCCUCCCAAGCCAACCUGGUCUUCCCCAGGCCUUUCCCAGGGCCUUUGGGACAGAUGUGAUCCCUUCUCCAGGACCCACGCUUUGUGGACCAGGAAGGCCCGGUGUUGCCGAGGAUCAUUUUUAGGUGAAAGCAAGAUCGAGACAACCAGCGUGGAGAGGUGGAGAGAGAGAGAUUCUGGAUGCCUUCAGUCAGAUCCAAGGACCCGAAUGUGACUGAGACCAGACCCUCCCAUUGAUUUUCCAGUGACGGGAACCAACGAAUGACCUUCCGGGUUAGGCCAGUUUGAGAUGGGUUUCUGGCUCUCUCAAGUAGGAGUCCCAACUAAUUUGCCAACUGGGAAUAAAAAACAAAAAUGGGGUCAUCAGAGGAAGUUGGGGGCUGAUGGGUUCAGAGGAAGAGCUAAGCAUUCAGACUCCAGGAAGGAGGGAUCCAGUGAGCAUCAGGCAUCCUGGCCUCAGGGACGCAGGGAGUCCAGGCACCUGCGUGCGGGCUCCAUUGGAUUUCCACUCCAACGCAGAGUUCCAGGGAGCAAUUAUCCAAGUGACCCAGCUUGGGUCCCAUGCCUGACCUGUUGCUGGAGAGCUGGGUGGACCCCACGUGAUGGGGGAGCAGUCACCGCCCCCGGAGGAAAGGUGUCUUAGGAUGAAGAGAAGGCUGAGCAGUGACAAGUGCAGAUGUCCACCGCAGCUCCGGAAGCAGCAGAUGGCACGGGGCCAUUUUCUCUCUGGUUCGAUGAGACUGCCCUGGGGUGCUUUCGCUCGAAGGCUUGGCGGAGGGGCUACCCGUGGGGCGGAGGGAAAGUUGGCUUUUGGAGUUAGACGAUGGAGAUGGUAACAAUGCUGCCUCUCCGAGCUCCCUGGGCGACCC
ensembl:lncRNA